GAUGAAGAACGUAGCGAAAUGCGAUAAGUAAUGUGAAUUGCAGAAUUCAGUGAAUCAUCGAAUCUUUGAACGCACAUUGCGCCCGCCAGUAUUCUGGCGGGCAUGCCUGUCUGAGCGUCAUUUCAACCCUCAUGCCCCUAGGGCGUGGUGUUGGGGAUCGGCCAAAGCCCGCGAGGGACGGCCGGCCCCUAAAUCUAGUGGCGGACCCGUCGUGGCCUCCUCUGCGAAGUAGUGAUAUUCCGCAUCGGAGAGCGAUGAGCCCCUGCCGUUAAACCCCCAACUUUCCAAGGUUGACCUCAGAUCAGGUAGGAAUACCCGCUGAACUUAAGCAUAUCAAUAAGCGGGGA
rnacentral:misc_RNA from 1 species